CAGCGUGGAGAGUGAGAGCUGAGGUAGUUUAUGUCCAUGAAUUGCAGCUAAGCAGGGUUCAUUCAGUAAACAUGAAGAUCAGAAAGUGAGGACUGAGUGGCAAGAGACCCAGGCUGGAGAUAAGAGGACUCAGGAUUGGAAGAACUUAGUCUUGUAGUCCAUAACAAGGAGCUGAUUUUUAAUUUGCAAAAAGUUUAAGGUCUUGGAGCUGCCUCCCGACUUGAUUUCAGUUUUAAGUAAUUCACCAUAUUUAGGGUUUCUUGUGUAAAAAUGCAUGAAAGGAAAUGAGACUAGGUAACUGGACACAUGUAGGGCUCUUCUGCAAUAGGUCAGUAAGAUCUGCACUAGGAUGCUGAAAGAGGGAGGCUGCCAGACUCUAAAGACAUUCGGGAGAUAAAGCAACCGGUUCAGUGAACUCAGGGAAGGGGAACAGAGAGUGGCAGGAAGUAAAGGGGACACCAGCACCUGUGAGGUAAGUCUAAAACCAUCCAGUGGCAAUGACAAGGGAAACGCCCUCAAAUGACACCUCUGCCUUCAGAGUCCUGGAAGUGACAGAGCCUCUCCAGCUGGUACCCAGGGCAGGGUGGCUUCAGCUCAGACUGGAUCUUUUAAGCUGUCUGUGUCUAAAUAACAACCUGUGGACUACGGGUUCCUGUUAUGAAAGGGGUACUCAAUACUGGCAGCUGCGCCCCAUGGUGCCCUUCCACGCUGGCCCAAACUCCGCGGACCUGAGACCCCAGAAUUCAGGGUGGCGCUAAGAACUCCGGGAGGCCAAAGGGAGCAAGGUCUCGGAGAUCAUUGAGAUCCAAGGUUGCCAAGGCUGGAACAGAGCGCUUUCCCAUUCUGGGAUGUGGUUCCUGCCCUUCUUCUUCGGUGGGGCACAGCCAGCUACGUCCAGGACCCCACCAUGGCCACCGUGGCCGUGAUGUCAUCCUGGCUCACGUGGGAGACGUGACACCGCCCACUCCACGCGCUGCGGCCACCAACCGUUAGAGCAACGACCUCGGGGUCACCACCAACGGCCUCAGGAGCAUGCUGCAGGUUCUACAGUAACCUUACUGCAAGGCACUCCGGGUCCUGUGCCUCCCUGGUGUGCCAGCCGGCCAGCCAACCGGCUCUACUGACCUCGGACAAGGAUGCGAAAGAGCUGGAUUUAUCAACAGCCUUUGGGGACCACAGCGCCCUCUGUAGCUCGAGUCCGGUAGGGCAGAGUGAAUGAAGAAUUUAACCAAACUUGGCCACAAACCCGAAUUCAACCAAGACUUUUCUUGUGCUUGCUGUAUCAGCUGUGGAGAUGCCACCAUCUUCAUGGUGUCAGCCAUUAUAAAGGGCGACACAGAAGAGGACUUCCCCUUAUCCAACAAAUUUUAACGUUUCUGGCCGCUCACACAUAUGCUUGUCCUUUCAAAGACGUGGGAACCAAAGGUGGUGUUGUCAUGACUCAGGAAUUUCAUGAGUAGAAGACUUGGCUCUGUCUGUGCCCACAUGGCCUAGCUGUUAGAUGAGCUGGCAGACUCUAAAUAAAAUUGUUUUUCCCGGAGCUGAGCAGCUGAAGCCCCAGGACCUACAGAGCCCCAUGAGUAUGAAUGGCAUGCGUCAGACAAGGCAAUAGCCUUAUUAAAGCCUGGAGCUCAGCCCACCAGAGCCCUCAAGUACUGCAGGACGUUGAACAGCUGGAGCUUCAAGUGAGCCAAUUCUCCUAGAGUUAAAAAGAGACGCUUUGCUGAGAAACUGAAAAAAGACAGUAAAUAUGGAAACAUUGCUACCACUGGGAGAAGAAACAACAUCCUCAGGUGGAUCUUCACUGAACCAGCAUCCUCAAGAUUGUAAAUCUUAUUUUAGAAAGGGCUGAGAACCUAAAGUGCCAGUUCCUACAGAGGCACACCAGGGAAUAUGAACAACACCUGGCAGAUAAGAAGAAAACAAAAAGAAAAGAAAGUGGUACAGAAAGCUGCUUUCUGGGAAGACAUAAAGACUAUUCUACAGAAAACUUCAGAAGUAUUUGCCAAGGGGAUCUCUCAUCCAGCCGGGUCUUUGGAUGGUGGUGAAAAAAAUAACAGUGAGGAGGUGGACCGUGGUACAGCAUGGUCAUCUACAAAGGCUGAAGUCUCUUCUGUAGGAACCACACCUGGCAAAACACUGUUGGUGUGGCCCAGAGGAAGCCUCUGAUGAGUUAGCGCCCAGCACAUCGGCAUCAGCCACUCAGCCCGGGGAAAGUGUGAUGCUGACAAGGCCAGUUCAGAGUCUCAAGGGCCUAUGCCCUGUGGUCAUUCCACAAGAUUUGUACAACCAGAACCUCCAUUUUGCACCAAAGAACACCGAGAGAGAGGAACAAACACACAUGGUAUCCUUUGUGGUACACUGAUAAAGAUAUGAAAACUUCCUGAUCUAAGACUGUUUCUUCCCCCUCGGCUGCCAGUGACUCUCCGGAAACUAUCCAGGGUCAGAGUCUGUAUAUAUCACUCCACAGAAUGAACAGGGGGUAGAAAGGCCUGGGUACUUUGAAUUUGAUGACUUCAUACUUGGCUGCUUUUCAGAGACCCUUGAAUUAUCAAUUUGUUUCAAUGUGACAGUUAGAAAUAUUCAUUCUUCUGGUAGCUAAGGCCAGUAUUCCCAGCCCUUUGCAAACUGAGACCAAAGGCUUCAUACGAGGUCAAGGCCAGCCUCUGAUGGAGUGUGAGACAUUGUCUCACAGGAAAAGAAGGCAGGCAAGCAGGCAGACAGGCUGGCAUGAGGCAGGAAGGCUGGCUUGUUGACUCAUUCUAAAUAGAGGACUCAGGUUUUUUUUUGUAUCCUGUUCUGAGCUCCUCCUGAGUGGUGGCCUGGGGACAUAAAUUAUCUAAGGUCUUCGUAUGUGUCCAUAAAGUGUGCAGUCCUUUGCAGAGAUGGAAGGAACCCUGGAUAGAGAGAGUGCUGAGCAGUGUGUUCACUAGGAGAUGUAGGGACUGUGAGGAAGGCAAGGCCACGCUUGAACCCAUUCCUCAUUUCCAAACAAGUCAAGGAGUCAUGCAAAGCAAACCUCACCUUGAUGUUAAUGAGGAAGCUGGAGCAGGGAAGCUGCUUUAGGCAGCCAAGGGGUGGGGCUCCUUCCAGAACACUUCAAGAAUGCUGAGCAGGCCAGCUAGGCCUAGCAUGUGCUAGGGGGACAUCUCAGGUUCACCUUGGCAUCUGUGGCUUAAUACUGCACCCCAGCAAAGCAGAACAGCCAAGGCUGUGAAUAACUGAGGUGACGGAGAAAGAUGAGUGUCAUUUACUUCCGGGGGGCGGGGUGUUUCACAUGUGUUAUGAGUGGGACUGAGAGCGCCAAGAGAUUGUGACAAGUUGUUUUCUAUUGGCAGGUGAGAGAGGAGUAAAUCAUAACACAUGUGAUUGUCCCAGAGCAGAACAGAGGGCCUGAGCGUUGUCACAAACAGAACAAGGAAGAUCUUGACCUCCUCUCUAAUGGCAGCUCCUCCUAUCUCCUAGAAGGACACUGGCCACGUUUCUCUGUGAGCAGAUUUCGCUCCAGAUCACCUGUCUCUGAGCAUAUACAGUCACUAGUGUUCCAGUGUUGAGUCAAAGGAGCAUUUGCUUUUCUAAUUUUAUCUGUUACUAAAAGUGACUCUUCAAAGUUCCAA